GAUGAAGAACGCAGCGAAAUGCGAUAAGUAAUGUGAAUUGCAGAAUCCAGUGAAUCAUCGAAUCUUUGAACGCACAUUGCGCCCGCCAGUAUUCUGGCGGGCAUGCCUGUCCGAGCGUCAUUUCAACCAUCAAGCCCCAGGCUUGUGUUGGGGACCUGCGUCCGACGCAGGCCCUGAAAACCAGUGGCGGGCUCGCUGUCCACACCGAGCGUAGUAACUAACCUCGCUACGGGAGCGGCGCGGGCGCCUGCCGUAAAACCCCCAAUUUUCACAAGGUUGACCUCGGAUCAGGUAGGAAUACCCGCUGAACUUAAGCAUAUCAAUAAGCGA
rnacentral:misc_RNA from 1 species